rnacentral:rRNA from 1 species
GAGUUUGAUCCUGGCUCAGAGUGAACGCUGGCGGCGUGCCUAACACAUGCAAGUCGAACGAGUAAGUACUGUACUUGUACAGAGAACUGCUAGUGGCAGACGGGUGAGUAAUACAUGGGAAUCUGCCCUGGAGUCAAGGAUAACAGUUGGAAACGACUGCUAAUACUUGAUAUAGCCGAGAGGUGAAAGGUUCAUCGCUCCAGGAUGAGCCCAUGCAAGAUUAGCUUGUUGGUAAGGUAAUGGCUUACCAAGGCUACGAUCUUUAGCUGGUCUGAGAGGAUGAUCAGCCACACUGGAACUGAGACACGGUCCAGACUCCUACGGGAGGCAGCAGUGGGGAAUAUUGGACAAUGGGCGAAAGCCUGAUCCAGCGACGCCGCGUGAGUGAAGAAGGCCUUAGGGUUGUAAAGCUCUUUCAGUAGGGAAGAUUAUGACGGUACCUACAGAAGAAGCACCGGCUAACUUCGUGCCAGCAGCCGCGGUAAUACGAAGGGUGCUAGCGUUACUCGGAAUUAUUGGGCGUAAAGCGUGCGCAGGCGGCCUUGAAAGUUGGAAGUGAAAGCCCAGAGCUCAACUCUGGAAUUGCUUUCAAAACUACAAGGCUAGAGUGUCAGAGAGGAUGGCGGAAUUCCUAGUGUAGAGGUGAAAUUCGUAGAUAUUAGGAGGAACACCGGUGGCGAAGGCGGCCAUCUGGCUGACAACUGACGCUGUUGCACGAAAGCGUGGGGAGCAAACAGGAUUAGAUACCCUGGUAGUCCACGCAGUAAACGAUGAGUGCUAGAUAUCAGGUCCUUGAGACUUGGUAUCGCAGCUAACGCAUUAAGCACUCCGCCUGGGAAGUACGGUCGCAAGAUUAAAACUCAAACGGAAUUGACGGGGACCCGCACAAGCGGUGGAACACGUGGUUUAAUUCGAUGCUACGCGAAAAACCUUACCAGACCUUGACAUAAUAGUCGCACUUCUAGGAAACUAGUCGGUCAGUUCGGCUGGACUAUUACAGGUGUUGCAUGGCUGUCGUCAGCUCGUGUCGUUAGAUGUUGGGUUAAGUCCCGCAACGAGCGCAACCCUCAUCCUUAUUUACCAGCGAGUAAUGUCGGGCACUAUAAGGAAACUGCCGGUGAUAAACCGGAGGAAGGUGGGGAUGACGUCAAGUCAGCAUGGCCCUUACGGUCUGGGCUACACACAUGUUACAAUGGUGACUACAAUGAGACGCAAUACCGCGAGGUGGAGCAAAUCUAUAAAGGUCAUCUAAGUUCGGAUUGCACCCUGCAACUCGGGUGCAUGAAGUCGGAAUCGCUAGUAAUCGCAGAUCAGCACGCUGCGGUGAAUACGUUCCCGGGUCUUGUACACACUGCCCGUCACGCUAUGGGAGUUGAUUUUACCUUAAGCAGGUGAGCUAACCUUCGGGAGGCAGCCUACCACGGUGAGAUCGGUGACUAGAGUGAAGUCGUAACAAGGUAACC